UUAAGCGACUAAGCGUACACGGUGGAUGCCCUGGCAGUCAGAGGCGAUGAAGGACGUGCUAAUCUGCGAUAAGCGUCGGUAAGGUGAUAUGAACCGUUAUAACCGGCGAUUUCCGAAUGGGGAAACCCAGUGUGAUUCGACACACUAUCAUUAACUGAAUCCAUAGGUUAAUGAGGCUAACCGGGGGAACUGAAACAUCUAAGUACCCCGAGGAAAAGAAAUCAACCGAGAUUCCCCCAGUAGCGGCGAGCGAACGGGGAGCAGCCCAGAGCCUGAAUCAGUAUGUGUGUUAGUGGAAGCGUCUGGAAAGGCGCGCGAUACAGGGUGACAGCCCCGUACACAAAAAUGCACAUGCUGUGAGCUCGAUGAGUAGGGCGGGACACGUGGUAUCCUGUCUGAAUAUGGGGGGACCAUCCUCCAAGGCUAAAUACUCCUGACUGACCGAUAGUGAACCAGUACCGUGAGGGAAAGGCGAAAAGAACCCCGGCGAGGGGAGUGAAAAAGAACCUGAAACCGUGUACGUACAAGCAGUGGGAGCACAGAGCAAUCUGUGUGACUGCGUACCUUUUGUAUAAUGGGUCAGCGACUUAUAUUCUGUAGCAAGGUUAACCGAAUAGGGGAGCCGAAGGGAAACCGAGUCUUAACUGGGCGUUAAGUUGCAGGGUAUAGACCCGAAACCCGGUGAUCUAGCCAUGGGCAGGUUGAAGGUUGGGUAACACUAACUGGAGGACCGAACCGACUAAUGUUGAAAAAUUAGCGGAUGACUUGUGGCUGGGGGUGAAAGGCCAAUCAAACCGGGAGAUAGCUGGUUCUCCCCGAAAGCUAUUUAGGUAGCGCCUCGUGAAUUCAUCUCCGGGGGUAGAGCACUGUUUCGGCAAGGGGGUCAUCCCGACUUACCAACCCGAUGCAAACUGCGAAUACCGGAGAAUGUUAUCACGGGAGACACACGGCGGGUGCUAACGUCCGUCGUGAAGAGGGAAACAACCCAGACCGCCAGCUAAGGUCCCAAAGUCAUGGUUAAGUGGGAAACGAUGUGGGAAGGCCCAGACAGCCAGGAUGUUGGCUUAGAAGCAGCCAUCAUUUAAGAAAGCGUAAUAGCUCACUGGUCGAGUCGGCCUGCGCGGAAGAUGUAACGGGGCUAAACCAUGCACCGAAGCUGCGGCAGCGACGCUUAUGCGUUGUUGGGUAGGGGAGCGUUCUGUAAGCCUGUGAAGGUGUGCUGUGAGGCAUGCUGGAGGUAUCAGAAGUGCGAAUGCUGACAUAAGUAACGAUAAAGCGGGUGAAAAGCCCGCUCGCCGGAAGACCAAGGGUUCCUGUCCAACGUUAAUCGGGGCAGGGUGAGUCGACCCCUAAGGCGAGGCCGAAAGGCGUAGUCGAUGGGAAACAGGUUAAUAUUCCUGUACUUGGUGUUACUGCGAAGGGGGGACGGAGAAGGCUAUGUUGGCCGGGCGACGGUUGUCCCGGUUUAAGCGUGUAGGCUGGUUUUCCAGGCAAAUCCGGAAAAUCAAGGCUGAGGCGUGAUGACGAGGCACUACGGUGCUGAAGCAACAAAUGCCCUGCUUCCAGGAAAAGCCUCUAAGCAUCAGGUAACAUCAAAUCGUACCCCAAACCGACACAGGUGGUCAGGUAGAGAAUACCAAGGCGCUUGAGAGAACUCGGGUGAAGGAACUAGGCAAAAUGGUGCCGUAACUUCGGGAGAAGGCACGCUGAUAUGUAGGUGAAGUCCCUCGCGGAUGGAGCUGAAAUCAGUCGAAGAUACCAGCUGGCUGCAACUGUUUAAUUAAAAACACAGCACUGUGCAAACACGAAAGUGGACGUAUACGGUGUGACGCCUGCCCGGUGCCGGAAGGUUAAUUGAUGGGGUUAGCGCAAGCGAAGCUCUUGAUCGAAGCCCCGGUAAACGGCGGCCGUAACUAUAACGGUCCUAAGGUAGCGAAAUUCCUUGUCGGGUAAGUUCCGACCUGCACGAAUGGCGUAAUGAUGGCCAGGCUGUCUCCACCCGAGACUCAGUGAAAUUGAACUCGCUGUGAAGAUGCAGUGUACCCGCGGCAAGACGGAAAGACCCCGUGAACCUUUACUAUAGCUUGACACUGAACAUUGAGCCUUGAUGUGUAGGAUAGGUGGGAGGCUUUGAAGUGUGGACGCCAGUCUGCAUGGAGCCGACCUUGAAAUACCACCCUUUAAUGUUUGAUGUUCUAACGUUGACCCGUAAUCCGGGUUGCGGACAGUGUCUGGUGGGUAGUUUGACUGGGGCGGUCUCCUCCUAAAGAGUAACGGAGGAGCACGAAGGUUGGCUAAUCCUGGUCGGACAUCAGGAGGUUAGUGCAAUGGCAUAAGCCAGCUUGACUGCGAGCGUGACGGCGCGAGCAGGUGCGAAAGCAGGUCAUAGUGAUCCGGUGGUUCUGAAUGGAAGGGCCAUCGCUCAACGGAUAAAAGGUACUCCGGGGAUAACAGGCUGAUACCGCCCAAGAGUUCAUAUCGACGGCGGUGUUUGGCACCUCGAUGUCGGCUCAUCACAUCCUGGGGCUGAAGUAGGUCCCAAGGGUAUGGCUGUUCGCCAUUUAAAGUGGUACGCGAGCUGGGUUUAGAACGUCGUGAGACAGUUCGGUCCCUAUCUGCCGUGGGCGCUGGAGAACUGAGGGGGGCUGCUCCUAGUACGAGAGGACCGGAGUGGACGCAUCACUGGUGUUCGGGUUGUCAUGCCAAUGGCACUGCCCGGUAGCUAAAUGCGGAAGAGAUAAGUGCUGAAAGCAUCUAAGCACGAAACUUGCCCCGAGAUGAGUUCUCCCUGACUCCUUGAGAGUCCUGAAGGAACGUUGAAGACGACGACGUUGAUAGGCCGGGUGUGUAAGCGCAGCGAUGCGUUGAGCUAACCGGUACUAAUGAACCGUGAGGCUUAACCUU
rnacentral:rRNA from 1 species